rnacentral:rRNA from 1 species
CAGCAGCCGCGGGAACACGAACCGUCCGAACGUUAUUCGGAAUCACUGGGCUUAAAGCGCGUGUAGGCGGGCCGCCACGUCGGCUGCUGAAAUCCCCCGGCUCAACCGGGGAAGUGGCACCGAUACGAGCGGCCUCGAGGGGGGUAGGGGGGACUGGAGCUUCCGGUGGAGCGGUGAAAUGCGUUGAGAUGUGGAGGAACACCAGUGGCGAAGGCGACUCUUUGGUCUGUAACUGACGCUGAGGAGCGAAAGCGUGGGGAGCGAACAGGAUUAGAUACCCCUGUAGUCCCUGUCUCUUAUA